rnacentral:lncRNA from 1 species
UCUCCGAAAUAAUCAUCCCUCAAAACCCCUCUAGGGACCAAUUAAACCAUAACUUAUUGACGGAGACGGUAAAAUUCUUAUUAUAACCAAGCUAGUAAAUAAGGUAAAAAUUUACGGGUCGGGAUCUGACAAUUCUCCCCUCCUUAUAAAAAUUUCGUCCUCGAAAUUUACAUACCUGACAAUCAAAGAGAUAGGGAUACCGCUCCCAUUUGCUCCUCUGAUUCCCAAGUAGCUUCCUCUACUUGAUGACUCCUCCGAAGAACUUUAACAAGAGGAAAAGAUUUGCUUCUAAGCACUUGCUCCUUUGGGGCAAGAAUCUGAACCGGAUCCUCUUCAUAAGACAAAUCUUUCGUCAAACUGAUCGGCUGCUCUUACACCACAUGAGAAGGAUCGGCAAUAUACUUGCGAAACAUGGAUACAUGAAACACAUUAUGUAUCCUGGAUAACUCUGGAGGCAAAACUAAUCGAUACGCAAGAGAGCCCACUUGAUCUUAAAACCCAUAAGGACCAAUAAAUCUCGGACCAAGCUUUUCACGUCACCACAAACGUACCACCCCUUUCCAAGGAGACAAUCUCGAAAAGCACCCAUACACUCACUUGAAACUCAUGGUCCUUCCUGCGGACAUCUUUAUAACUCUUCUGGCUACUAAGAGCUGUUUUGAGUCUAUCUCUGACUCUUUUAACCUUUUUAUUUCUCAAAGACUCUAAAUUCUUCGUUGAACUAUCACUAACGUUUGCACGUAAGUGAGUUCAGUGAAACCUGCUCCAGAGUGCGAGUACCCGUAGGUAUGCACACUCUUUCCUGAGCAAUGGAAAUAGCUAACCCAAAUAAAACGCAUAAAUUUGCUAUCACCAUCGGGCUAAAAUCUCCUAAUGUCACGCAAUAACCUCGUCAUUACGCUGCUCACAGCUCAACAAUAAAGCCCACUUGCUAGGAAACUAAAGUUCACACAUUCCCACAUGCUCAUAGGGGUCAAAAUUAAAACCCGCUAAUUGAACAGAUUUUUAAGGAUGCACACACUGCAGAACUGCAACAAUCACUUCUAAUGCCGAGACAUUUCGCAGAGUCUUUCGUGGAGUCAAAGCUCUUGCAAGUCCGCAAGACAACCCCGCUCUACCUAAGAGUCCACCAACAUAUGAAAACCUCGAAUCUCGAAAUGACAUUAUGAAAAGCUCAAUACUACUACACUUAGGUCUCUUCACCAAAACUAUUACAUUACCUUUUUGAACACCACAAACUAGCAGCUUAUGAGAAUUUCAACUCUCUCCUGAUUCUGUUAUCUCCACUAUUCUCUUUACCACAAACCAGAACAUAAUUUGAAACAUGAUUAACAUGUGGAGACUGGAAUUUCCUCCUUCCUCGCCAUAAACAAGACUUACUAAAAUGCCCACGAAAAAUUGGCACAGCCAAUUCAUGAUGCCAAACUUGACGUUGAAAUCCACAUAAAUAGAACACUUUCCUUAAGCAUUGACAAAAAUUUACAUCUCCAGCCAUGCUACUUAUUCGGGUGCAACCGCGACCCCAAAUUCAAUAAUUAAAAGCACACGGCUCACUCUAGCCGUUCCAUAAGAAUGAUUCUAAAUACCAAAACCUUUGAACUCGACAAACAUACUUCUUUUCUACCUCUAAUAAUAAUUAAUCUGAUAACAGAAAACGAUCUGAAAAUCAGAUAUGCUCAAGUCUCCUACACAUCCCAGGGCCACGACUUCCCACCAAAAAGAUUCUUCAAAAACCGAGCUUGCAAUAACAUGCGACUAACAAAAGCAAAGACAAAUUUUUAUACAAGACCCACUACUACACCUUGUGGUUCACCAACUAACGAAAACCAUGAAUUCAAGCAAGAAUCAAAACUCAUGGCUUAACUCAGCUCAAGCUCCAGAAGAAAUAAUUUAAAGCACACGAAAAGCAAGUCCUCUAACUUCGAGCUCAAAAGCUCUACAGAUCUCCGAUAUCCGCUAGAACCCGCUUUGAAAUCACACUAGAAACCUCCACUAAUCAUCCUGACACCAACGAAUGAACGCACAACCAAAUAACGAAGACCUCCCAAAUCAAACUUGGAUCAAUGAGUGGUCCCACCACAAUACGAUCCCGAAAAGAGACGCUGAUCAACCUAUCAAAAACUACUACUCUCAAAAUUAAAACUCUUAAUAAACCUUGACUCUAGAUGCUUCUUCAGUCAACAUGGAAAAACCCUCUUCCAUAAUGCUACAUCAUGAAAUAUACCUAUACCGACACAAACCAUCUAAAUCAACAUCACCAUGCAACUCUCAAACUACCAUAUAGGAUUUACGGCAUCAAGACUCAUCGCUUAAAUGAAGUCCAGCUCUCUUGGGAUCACCACUGGAUUUAUUCCGGAUCCAUGACUGCGACACAACUACCAAUUUAUCAUUUACCUCGAAACUUCAACAAAAUAACCAGAAUCUCUACCCUUCAAUUCGAAGCGUUGAAUUCGCAUUCCAUAAUUUCAGGCUCUGAGGAUGCUACCCAAAAAUUACAGUAGGAAUAAUUUAAAUAUUCCCACACACACCACAACCAAAACUUUACUCCAUCUCACUGAAUUAGAAAUAAGGUGAGAACAGAUCCUCCCAUUGUUGUGUCGUAGUUAGUCACCCAUUGCAAACGAAGUGAUGUCAAUAACCAACUUCGAUCACAAAGUCAAGACUUAAAUCGACCACCCGGAAUGACAUUGCUUAAAAAUUACUUUGGACACCCACGCACUCUUGCUUUAUGAUCCAGUGGGUUCUAUUCUACCACUGCCAUUUCCACCAAUUUCAUGCAACUACCUUAGAAUUUAUAAAACAAAAACUCAUGACAACACCUAUUUAAAAUUUCACCAUGCGUUGUCGUAAAACUGGAGUGACCACAACCAUCCCGCUCUCACUCCACCAUUACUUUUCGAUUCCAUUACAUUAUCAUCUUCCCAAACACUCAACAAAUUUGGAAACCAAACUUCAACACCUGGAAUUCCAAAAGAAUUCAUACUGGCCCCUCGAUUAAAAUAAUAUAACUGACACAUCACUCCACGAUUCCAAACUUGCUUGAAACCCAAAACAUUUAGUGCCAUCAAUAAAAUUAUAAAAUUCCCCGACUGUGGCACAACAAGAAGUUGUCACCACGCACUGACGAAUGACUUUUGUAAAACCAACAAUCCAAGUCAUUCUACUUAGUGCUUUAACAAACUUCAACUAACCCACAAUAGAGACCAAAAUCAUCAGAAAACUUACUAUUUAUCGACUACCAACAUCCAUCAUUUCAAAAUAUAUUAUCACUACCAUCUGGAUAAAAUGCUCUAAGGAUAGAAACAUAUCCAUAAUUAGCACUGCAGAAACCAGAACAUAUACCACCAUAACCAAAAUUAUCCCAACAUAUUCCCAAUUGAUUUAUGUUGCGGAUAAAAUUGUCGGCAAAAUGGCUUUCAAUCAAGACUUAUCUAAAUUGACAUUUAGCUCUUUAUGCAGCAAUACCUUACCACCCAAUCACUAGCCACAAAUUUCCUAAAACCUACAACUCAUAGGUACCCCUUUGAAUUACCAUUGGAUACCUCACCUCAUCAUUUCAACUAACUUUUUCAUCAAUAGAAUACACCACUAUUUCGAACUUUCCUUCCAACUCAACUCUCUCAGAAGUCACGUAACUCAAUACCAAAAUCUCCCAUCAAUCAAUUUUUGACUCCAAUCUUGCCCACUAAAAAUGGACGACUCCACGGCAUUAAUCAUCAACAUUUCACCCAACAGAUUUGUACAAGAUGCUCACCUUAGCAUCUUAAUCAUAACCCAAACAAUCAUUGAUCACAUGAAAGGAAUGCUGCCACGCAUAUGAGUGCCCAUCUCGCACUUGAACUCUAACAAUUUAUGAUAUCAACUCGAUAAUCCUUGAAAAAGGCAUAAAUCAAACACAUCCUUCCCUAAUCAAAGCAGGAUGAUCACUUAAGAGGUCGACGUACGGAGGCAUAGUCUUAGAGAUGUAGACAUUUAUGGCACACUACUGUCCAUAAAUAAAAGAAGAACAACUACAUCACAACCCUAAUCAACACAUAGUGUCUUAAGCAUAUAAUGCUAAUAGAUCCACCGCGGUCGGACCAUCACUCUAUAGACACUAAGCAUGACCAAGAGUAUGAGGUAGUACUAAAAAGAGAAAGGAAACGAAUAACCUAGUGCUCUGAUACCAACUGACACGACCCACCCCAAAUUUCACCCUAAAACCCAGAGUAAGUCGUGCGGGGACCACCUCCAAGGAAAAUUUACCGAAAAAUCGGCAUAACCUCCCUUGAAAAUGGACAACCCUUCCUAAUAAUACCUACAAACACUUCUGAAAAUUUAAAUCAAACCUUAAACUCCUGGAGCCUCCGUGCUCCCCAAAUCACAACACCACCCAAAUUAUUUACUAAUCUAAACAAAUCUCAUAUCCAACCAUUUAUAGGUUCAGAGCAACUGUAACAGGAAGAAAAGAAACAUAAUAAAUUAAAAAGCGGAAGCUAUAUGAUGACUAUGCCUCAUCCCCAUGUACGCUCAACCUCAACUAUGCAAUCUUGUAAACUGGGCAUUUUUUAAAACGAAGAGCCCAGGGGAAAACAUUUGAAACACGUUAGAGUGAGUGGACAAAAAUAAAUUAACGAAUAAAAUAUUUAUGUUUCCCUAAAUCAAUUUCUAAGGAAAAUCGAAUGCAUGCUGCAAGCAAUAAAACUUUUAUCUCAUAAAUGUCAAGCCUCUCAGGCUCUAUAAUAUAUGAAUGUAUUUACACACGUCCAUACUCCUUAUAUAAAUUCAUGGGUCUAUAUAGGGCUACUACGCUCGCGUCCAACGCUCACGUCACGCUUUAAUGCGGUGCUACACUACGCCAUUAAGGUGGGUAGACGAGUGUAUAAAUAUGUGCCCAUACCCCCUAUAUGAAUUAAACACUCAUAUAGGGCUACUACGCUCGCGUCCAACGCUCUCGUCACACCAUAAUGCGGCUAUAUGCUACGCCAUUAAGGUGGACAGACACAUAGGGCUAGCUAGCAUUUUUAUACAUACUCUCCUCAUAAAUACAUAUUUAUAUUCACCGAAAAUCCCAUUUUCGGUAACUCUCCAAGAGAAAUAAAAUCGUUAAAAUAAAAUGACGUCAAAAUGCUCCACAACAUUAAUUGUUCAUCUAUGAACUAUAGCAUGCAUUUUAUUUAAAACAAAAGUCCACUCACAACUCUAGGCAUAAGCCCGACGAAAUCCAAAUCGCCACUCCAGAGAGGUUUCCUCGAACCCUGGCACAAAUAUAAAAUUAAUUUCCCAACUAAAACUCCAAUAUUUAAACAAAAUAGGCAAAAUUAACCGAGAGCCAUAACUACACUCAUCAUUGCCUAACUUCGAUAUUCUUAAAUCGAAACAAUCCGAACUUAAAUAUCAUACUCGGCAGCCGUAAUUACAACCUCCCCAAAAAUACGACUUAAAACCUACGGCCGGAUUCUACAUUAAUUAACCGCCAAAAAUACCACACUUCAGAAAUUCAUAAACCUAUCCAAAACUCAUCCAAAAAUUUCAUAACUCACUUCAACAAACUCCCCUAAAUAUUCUAAAUUUAAAACUCUAAAAAUCUUUCAAAUAGUGGCAGCGCCGCCGGCGGCUCCGCCGGAGGCUGAUUCCGGCGACCUCCAAUUCCUAUGAAAAUUUAACAGCAUAUUCCUCUCAACAUCUCAAACAAUUUUCAUAACUAUCACUAAGCCCAAUUUCAAGCCUAAAUAGGGCAAUCGAAACCAAACAUAUCAAGAAAACCCUAGGAAAUUCAAACACCCGAUUCUCCUUACUUAGCUCAAGUUAGGAUGAAUCCUUUUAGGGGUUUGCUGCUAGAAGAGAGAGCGUCCAAAUGAUACCAACAGCUCCGGCUAUGGUGGCCGGAAAAGGGAUUUUCCGGCGAAAACCCCGCCACGCACAGCAGCGGCUUUUCGGCAUGAUUUCUCCUUCACGGUGGCGCAACACGGGCUGCCACCUAUCUAAACUUGUAGAGGAUGCUCCAAGCUUCAAAUCGACACCAAGCACGCCUCCUAUCUCGGCCGGACGGCGGCCGGAAAGUUUCCGGGUCGGGAGAGCUCGGGGAUGAGGCCGGGAGGGAGAGAAGAGAAAGGGAAAAGAGAGGGCUGGGCUUUGACCACCUCUUGGCCCGGUCCAACACUCUUAUACAACCCAAAUCCAAAAUAAAACACCCCGAAAAUAAAUACCCGAACUAAAAAUUAACCUUUUACCUUAGCUAAAAUUUAACCUAUUUUACCGUUCGUCAAAUUUUUUUAUUUACGAAUAANNNNNNNNNNNNNNNNNNNNNNNNNNNNNNNNNNNNNNNNNNNNNNNNNNNNNNNNNNNNNNNNNNNNNNNNNNNNNNNNNNNNNNNNNNNNNNNNNNNNNNNNNNNNNNUUAUACAACCCAAAUCCAAAAUAAAACACCCCGAAAAUAAUACCCGAUAAAAUACCUUUACUAGCUAAAAUUUACCAUUUUUUACCGUCGUCAAAUUUUUUUUUUAUACGAAUAAUUCUCCGAAAUAAUCAUCCCUCAAAACCCCUCUAGGGACCAAUUAAACCAUAACUUAUUGACGGAGACGGUAAAAUUCUUAUUAUAACCAAGCUAAUAAAUAAGGUAAAAAUUUACGGGUCGGGAUCUGACAAAAAUAACUAAAAAAAAAAAGCCUAAAAAGAAAAUGAAAAUCAGACCUGAUAAACAACGGCCUAUGAGUCUAUGACCAAAAUGACCACAGCCCACCAAUCAACCCCUUAUCCUCUAUCCUUCGGCUACUUAAGGGAAUUAUCUUGAUCAUAGCUACUUCUUCUACAGUAAAGAUUUUCUCCAACCAGUCAAGGUACCAUGAGGUAGUGUCCUCAUCGAUUAAAUCAGAAACUUUCAGAUCCUUCAAACCCUCCAUCAUAGGCAGGCUAGGCCGAAAAGUGUGAGGCCUGGGAAGCCACGGAUCUCUCCAUAUUAAUAUAUUCAUACCAUCACCCACCAAGUGUCUAGUGCCUCUAUUCAGAACCUCAUGACCCCUCAUUAGACUGCGCCAAGUAUAAAAUCUCUUGCCUUGACUUGAGCAUGUAAAAAAUCUGAAUUUGGGUAGUAUUUCGCUUUAAGACACCUUGCAAGAAGUGAGUCUGGAAACCUUACUAGCCUCUAACCUUGCUUUGCCAAAAGAGCUUGGUUGAAUUGCCAAAUAUUUCUAAAACCCAGACCUCCCUCCUCCUUUAGAAUACAGUCUGUCUCACAUCAUCUAGUGGAUUUUCUCCUACCUCCUUCCGUGUCUCCCCACCAAAAAUCUACCAUACAUCUAUGCAUCUCCACACACGUGUUUUGGUAACUCAAAACAGCUCAUUACAUAAGUCAGACGUGAACCACCGCCUUAAUCAUCACUUCUUUCCCCGCCAUGCUCAACGUCUAUCUUUCCACCCCUUCAUCUUAUUCCUCGUCUUCUCCAUUAUAAACUGAAAAGCUUCCGUUUUGGAGUAGCUCACCUCUGUUGGAAGCCCGAGAUACUUAUCAUGCUUAUCAACUCUUAGUACACUACUGCCGCUAACUCUUCCUGCUUGUUAAAAUCCACAUUCUUUGAAGAACAAAUACUGCUUUUCGACAAACUGACACAUUGCCGAGAAGCCUCUUCAUACUGCCUCAAAAUGCUUAUGACAUGUCCAUACUCUUCCUCAUCAGCUCUCAUAAAAAUAAAAGAGUCAUCUGUGAAAAAUAAGUGAUUAAUUGAUGGGUCAUUGGGAGCAAUAGCCACACCAUGAAUCUGCCUUCGCCAACAUCCGAGACAGCCCCUCCACACAUAAUAGAAACAUAUCUGGUGAGAUAGAGUCUCCUUGUCUUACUCCUCGAGACAGAAUUAACCUUCCUCUCGAUUCACCAUUUAGAAUAAAGGAGUAUGAUACCGAUUUAACACAGUUCAUUAUCCGAUUCACCCAUCACAUAUCAAAUCCCAUACUCACCAUCACACUCUCAAGGAAAAGCCACUCCACUCAGUCAUACGCUUUGCUUAUAUCAAGUUUUAGAGCCUCAUACCCCUGAGAACCUCCAUAGCACCUUUUUAAGUAAUGUGAAAUUUCAAAAGCUAGAAAUGAGUUGUCAACUAUCUGCCUCCCGGGACAAAAGCGCUCUGAUUUGGAGCAAUCACAUCUUGCAGCAGUCUCUUUAAUCUAUUGGCUAAAACUUUCGAGCCCAAUUUGUAAAUGACGUUGCACAGGUUUAUGGGGCGCAACGGUUGCAUAGUCUCCAACUCUUUCACUAUCGGAAUUAAGGUAACAUGAGUGUGGUUAACCUGCCUCAUAUGUUCCUCCAACUCCAUGAAACCCCUUAUUGCCCUUGCCACAUCCAUACCUACUUUGUUGGGGGUGGUAUUCUAAUUCCAUAACUAACAUCAAAGCCAAGAUUACAGAAAUUAUCCCUCUACAAAAUUUUAAUUUUGUAUGUGAAAAUUAUAAAGGGCUAUUAUUGAAAACUAAAAUUAUGCAUUGCAUUCUUAUGACUUACGAAACACUACAAUAAAAAAUACUUAAUGAAGAAAAUCUAAGCUAAAAUAAAAGAUAAAAAAUAAAAAAUAGAUAAAUUGGGUGCGGGCGAGUGUGUGGUUAGAAGAGAAAUUUUAUUAACAUUUCUAUUUUCUAUAUACACAUCCCAUUUUUUUGUAAAUUUCUAAAUUACCAUUAUAUCCCUUUCUGACGCUGAAAAAAAAAACUGCAAAGUUCUCUAAUUUCUUCUACCGCUGGUGAUCAUAUAUAUAAUGGCC